GGGCAUGUGGUUUAGUGGUAUAACGUUUGCUUAGCAUGCGAAAGGUCCGGCGUUCAAUUCGCUGCUUGUCCA
rnacentral:tRNA from 1 species